UUAUCUUGCCAAGAAUACAACUAGCUUACAAAUAAGGUACAAAUGAGUAUCUCGAAAUCAUGCUUUGAUUUGCAGGUGAAGAUAUUAAUGAGCACAUUGCCAAUAGUAAAAUUUCCAAUGACUGUCCCAGCGCUUUGAGUAGGAACUAUGAAGUUUGCGAGGAUGGAGUACAGUAUUGUGACAAGAUUAUUGGAACUUACUUUGAGAACUGUGGGAAGGUUUCCCCUUUGUCCAGUGAGUACAAAAA
rnacentral:lncRNA from 1 species